rnacentral:rRNA from 1 species
GGCUCAGAAUGAACGCUGGCGGCAUGCCUAACACAUGCAAGUCGAACGAGAAAGCUUACUUCGGUAAGUGAGUAGAGUGGCGCACGGGUGAGUAACACGUAAGUAAUCUGUCCCCGAACCCGGGAUAACAUUGCGAAAGCGAUGCUAAUACCGGAUAAAGUUAUUUAAGCUGCGGCUUUAAUAAUGAAAGGCAGCUCCGGCUGUCGAUCGGGGGUGAGCUUGCGUCCCAUUAGCUAGUUGGUGGGGUAAAAGCCUACCAAGGCGACGAUGGGUAGCUGGUCUGAGAGGAUGAUCAGUCACACUGGGACUGAAACACGGCCCAGACUCCUACGGGAGGCAGCAGUGAGGAAUUUUGCGCAAUGGGGGAAACCCUGACGCAGCAAUGCCGCGUGAGUGAAGAAGGUCUUCGGGUCGUAAAGCUCUGUCAGAUGGGAAGAAGUUAUCAUAUAUAAAUAGUGUAUGGUAUUGACGGUACCAUCAAAGGAAGCACCGGCUAACUCCGUGCCAGCAGCCGCGGUAAUACGGAGGGUGCAAGCGUUAUUCGGAAUCAUUGGGCGUAAAGGGCGCGUAGGCGGUAUGUCAAGUCAGAUGUGAAAUCCCGGGGCUUAACUCCGGAUGGUCAUUUGAAACUGGCAUACUUGAGUUCGGUAGAGGAAAGCGGAAUUCCUGGUGUAGCGGUGAAAUGCGUAGAUCUCAGGAGGAACAUCAGUGGCGAAGGCGGCUUUCUGGCCCGAUACUGACGCUGAUGCGCGAAGGUGUGGGUAGCAAACGGGAUUAGAUACCCCGGUAGUCCACACAGUANACGGUGAUUACCAGGUGUUGGGUACCUAAAGUAUUCAGUGCCGCAGUAAACGCGUUCAGUAAUCCGGCUGGGGAGCACGGUCGCAAGAUUAAACUCCAAGGAAUUGACGGGGGCCUGCACAAGCGGUGGAGCAUGUGGUCUACUUCGAAGCAACGCGAAGAACCUUACCUGG